CAACCGGUCUCAAGAGAGACCGCUGAACGGUCAGAAGUCAGCAGAAGCCAUAGUACCCGGUCUUCCGGAUAGAUCGGGAAAGGGC
rnacentral:ncRNA from 1 species